UACGUAGGGUGCGAUCGUUAUUCGGAUUCACUGGGCUUAAAGGGCGCGUAGGCGGUUUCUUAAGUCAGGUGUGAAAUCCUUUCGCUUAACGGGGGGAGUGCACUUGAAACUGGGAUACUUGAGUAUGGUUGAGGUAAGUGGAAUUUCUGGUGUAGAGGUGAAAUGCGUAGAUAUCAUGAGGAACACCGGUGGCGAAGGCAACUGCCUGGACCAUUACUGACGCUGAGGCGCGAAGGCGUGGGGAUCAAACAGG
rnacentral:rRNA from 1 species